rnacentral:rRNA from 1 species
UUGGUGGACGGGUGAGUAACGCGUGGAAAACCUGCCGUAUACUGGGGGAUAACACUUAGAAAUAGGUGCUAAUACCGCAUAAGCGCACAGCUUCGCAUGAAGCGGUGUGAAAAACUCUGGUGGUAUACGAUGGUUCCGCGUCUGAUUAGCUAGUUGGUGGGGUAAUGGCCUACCAAGGCAACGAUCAGUAGCCGGCCUGAGAGGGUGAACGGCCACAUUGGGACUGAGACACGGCCCAAACUCCUACGGGAGGCAGCAG